AGCGGCGGACGGGUGAGUAACGCGUGGGUAACCUGCCCUAUACACAUGGAUAACAUACUGAAAAGUUUACUAAUACAUGAUAAUAUAUAUUUGCGGCAUCGCAGAUAUAUCAAAGUGUUAGCGGUAUAGGAUGGACCCGCGUCUGAUUAGCUAGUUGGUGAGAUAACUGCCCACCAAGGCGACGAUCAGUAGCCGACCUGAGAGGGUGAUCGGCCACAUUGGAACUGAGACACGGUCCAAACUCCUACGGGAGGCAGCAGUGGGGAAUAUUGCACAAUGGGCGAAAGCCUGAUGCAGCAACGCCGCGUGAACGAUGAAGGUCUUCGGAUCGUAAAGUUCUGUUGCAGGGGAAGAUAAUGACGGUACCCUGUGAGGAAGCCCCGGCUAACUACGUGCCAGCAGCCGCGGUAAUACGUANGGGGCUAGCGUUAUCCGGAUUUACUGGGCGUAAAGGGUGCGUANGUGGUCCUUCAAGUCGGUGGUUAAAGGCUACGGCUCAACCGUAGUAAGCCGCCGAAACUGGAGGACUUGA
rnacentral:rRNA from 1 species